GCGAAUACCGGAGAAUGUUAUCACGGGAGACACACGGCGGGUGCUAACGUCCGUCGUGAAGAGGGAAACAACCCAGACCGCCAGCUAAGGUCCCAAAGUCAUGGUUAAGUGGGAAACGAUGUGGGAAGGCCCAGACAGCCAGGAUGUUGGCUUAGAAGCAGCCAUCAUUUAAAGAAAGCGUAAUAGCUCACUGGUCGAGUCGGCCUGCGCGGAAGAUGUAACGGGGCUAAACCAUGCACCGAAGCUGCGGCAGCGACGCUUAUGCGUUG
rnacentral:rRNA from 1 species